GACGAACGCUGGCGGCGUGCCUAAUACAUGCAAGUCGAGCGAACAGAUGCGGACCUGGCUCCUCCGACGCUAGCGGCGGACGGGUGAGUAACACGCGGAUUACCUAUCUCUAAGACAGGGAUCACUUCGGGAAACCGGAGUUCCUACCGCAAAAUAUAUUGACCCGCAUGGUUCAGUAGUGAAAGACGGGUUUGCUGUCACUUAUAGAUGGAUCCGCGUCUGAUUAGCUAGUUGGUAAGGUAACGGCUUACCAAGGCAACGAUGCGUAGCCGACCCGAGAGGGCGAUCGGCCGCCCUGGAACUGAGGCACGGGCCCGACUCCUACGGGAGGCACGAGCAGGGCAUCUUCCGGAAUGGGCGGUAGCGUGACGGGGGAAAGCCGCGUGAGUGAUGAAGGGCUUCGGAUCGUAAAACACUGUUAUUAGGGAAGAGCAAAUGUGUAAGUAACUGUGCACGUCUUGACGGUACCUGCAGAGAAAGCCACGGCUAACUACGUG
rnacentral:rRNA from 1 species